rnacentral:rRNA from 1 species
GACGAACGCUGGCGGCGUGCUUAACACAUGCAAGUCGAACGGAAAGGCCCUGCUUUUGUGGGGUGCUCGAGUGGCGAACGGGUGAGUAACACGUGAGUAACCUGCCCUUGACUUUGGGAUAACUUCAGGAAACUGGGGCUAAUACCGGAUAGGAGCUCCUGCUGCAUGGUGGGGGUUGGAAAGUUUCGGCGGUUGGGGAUGGACUCGCGGCUUAUCAGCUUGUUGGUGGGGUAGUGGCUUACCAAGGCUUUGACGGGUAGCCGGCCUGAGAGGGUGACCGGCCACAUUGGGACUGAGAUACGGCCCAGACUCCUACGGGAGGCAGAAGUGGGGAAUAUUACACAGUGGGCGGAAGCCUGUUGCAGCAACGCCGCGUGCGUGAUGACGGCCUUCGGGUUGUAAACCGCUGUCGCCUGUGACGAAGCGUGAGUGACGGUAAUGGGUAAAGAAGCACCGGCUAACUACGUG